GCUAACGUAAAAAAUAAAAAUAUUACACUGUUUACGGUUUACCUACUUAAGUACCUACAAAAAUUAAAAAAUACUCCUUCCUUAUAUAUUAUUAUAGUCUUUGAAAUACUCAUUAACAGCUGGCUUAAAAUUUCAAUUUCAAUUUUGUUUUGAUUUAAAUUAUUAAUAAUCAUAAAAAUGGUGGAAGACUCACUCACUCUAUAGGGAUAAAUACAGAAAAGAGCAACACUACAAAUUACAAUGGAAUCGGAUUCAAAGAAUGCGAUAGCAGAUCAAGACUGUGCAGUUUGUAUGCAGAAAUUGAAUCAUCCAGCAAAACUCCCAUGCGACCAUAUAUUUUGUUUUCUCUGUGUUAAGGGUGUUAUUAUACGAAGUCACAAGUGUCCUAUGUGUCGUACAGAGACUCCAGAAGACUAUUUAGACAAUCCUGUACUUGUUAAUGAAAUGGGCGAUGAAGAGGAAACACAUGCAGAAGCUGGUGUCCACCAGUGGUAUUAUGAAGGGAAAGAUGGGUGGUGGAAGUAUGAUGAGAGAAGCAAUGAAGAUCUCGAAGCAGAUUACAACGCUGGAAAAAGCGAAUGUAAACUUUUACUUGCUGGAUCAGUAUAUUGUGUGGAUUUUACAAAUAUGUAUCAAUUUCGUCAAACAGAUCCAAGACGAAAACGAAAAGUUAAACGAGACUCGAACAAACUUCCUACUAAAGGAAUUGCAGGAAUUCGAAAAUUGAGUACGAAACCAGCAGAGAUAAUAGUUAUUGAUGAUGACACUAAUACCAAUGUAGUCGACUUAACAAACAACAGUGACAGUAGCCCAGAAAACAUGGAUAAUGUAGAUGCCAUUUCUGAUAGCCUGAGUAACUACUAAGACCACUACUGAAUUUGUACUGUCUGCGUAAGCAACAAAACAAAAUUAUAAGAAAAUAAAUUAAGAUUUGUCAGUUUAGAGGAAGAACAAUAAUCUCAGGCGACAGCAGAAGAUGUGCAAUAGUAUCAUGCCGGUUUAAUGAAGGGUAUUUUUAUAAAAUGAAUGGGGGCGAAAUCAAUUAAAAAACAGCUGUUACAACUAAUUUAAUGCACUUUAUGUAACUUACUUAUUAGAGCCUCCCAGUAACCUGUCUUGCUUGCAGGCUGCACACAGUUACCCCGAAGCCGUAUGCAAGCAGCGGUUUGUGACUAAGAGGCUUAGAAAAAUAUAUUGCUCUCUAUUGUCACAUUGUGUGCCACAUAAUUUGGCUGUAAUCCUGAAAAUCUUGUAUUCCAGAAAUGUAUAAUAAUUUUAGUUAUCAUAGAUUGUAAUAGUAGUUAAUAUACCUACAGAUUAAAGGAGUCUGUAUAGUGGGCAUAGCAAAUGAGUCUAAUGUAAUCUUCCUAGUGUAGCAAGGAAUUUUGAUUUUAUAGCCUGGAAUUGUUGAGGUGUAAGUGUAGUACCCAGUGCUGCAAGUACCUAUGUGGCAUCGUAAGUGCCUGCUCGAAUUUAUUUGCAUCUAUUUGACAAAAUGUUUUCACUAAAUACAAGCUUCAGAUAGUUCUAGUUACUAUUAUGAAAUCUAGGUUGUCCUAAUUGUAAUUAGGAACCCUUUAUUGGUUAAUAUUCAAUUUAUUUUUGUGUUUCUACAAAUAUUUACGUAUUAACAAGCAACCAGUAAAGUUAUUCAUAAUUUUAUAUGAUGCCUUUGAUUGCUUUUCUUCUUGAAUGUUUAUUAGGUUAGAUUGAUAUUUGAAGUUGUGCAAACCAAAAUUUUGCAUUGGGUCAAAAUUAGCAUCAGUCUCAAAUUGCCAUCUUUUAGUUUAAAAUUUGUUGAAAUAUGUAUUAGAGUAUUGUUAAAUACAAUAAUUUAUAAUAAUGUUAAAUAAAAAAAUUUAAAACAUU